AUUGGAGGGCAAGUCUGGUGCCAGCAGCCGCGGUAAUUCCAGCUCCAAUAGCGUAUAUUAAAGUUGUUGCAGUUAAAAAGCUCGUAGUUGAACCUUGGGCCUGGCUGGCUGGUCCGCCUCACCGCGUGUACUGGUUCGGCCGGGCCUUUCCCUCUGGGGAACCUCAUGCCCUUCACUGGGUGUGCUGGGGAACCAGGACUUUUACUGUGAAAAAAUUAGAGUGUUCAAAGCAGGCCUAUGCUCGAAUACAUCAGCAUGGAAUAAUAGAAUAGGACGUGCGGUUCUAUUUUGUUGGUUUCUAGGACCGCCGUAAUGAUUAAUAGGGACAGUCGGGGGCAUCAGUAUUCAAUUGUCAGAGGUGAAAUUCUUGGAUUUAUUGAAGACUAACUACUGCGAAAGCAUUUGCCAAGGAUGUUUUCAUUAAUCAGGAACGAAAGUUAGGGGAUCGAAGACGAUCAGAUACCGUCGUAGUCUUAACCAUAAACUAUGCCGACUAGGGAUCGGACGAUGUUAUUUUUUGACUCGUUCGGCACCUUACGAGAAAUCAAAGUUUUUGGGUUCUGGGGGGAGUAUGGUCGCAAGGCUGAAACUUAAAGAAAUUGACGGAAGGGCACCACCAGGGGUUAACGCAGCUGUUACUACACGCAGUCUCUGCCCUGAAUAGUGAGUCGACUCUCUGUAGUCGACGCGGUGGUGCCCUAUAGCUCGCUAGUCGGUUACCCUGUGAUAGGGCCCGGCGACACCCUUAAAUUGCGGGGACCUCCUGUUAAAAGGGUCUGCUCCCAAGUACUGCCUAGAAAUAGAGCGUAUGGCGAAGCCUAACCAGCUUCGGUAGGGGAAGAACGCAAGCCCUGGGACGAUCCGCAGCCAAGCUCCGUAGCCACGUGCC
rnacentral:rRNA from 1 species